GAUGUCAAGCUUCAGCAGCCUUGCAUCUAUGGAUAAAUGAGAUGUCACUCCAGCUGCAGUCCUUGUCCAGAUCUGUACAGUAAAGAGCAAAGUGGAAAACCAACUCAAGACUUUGAGGGAGCGACAUACAAAACACAUAAUGUGAAACAAUGCAAAUCUGAAUGGUACAAAAUCCCCGUGAAAGAGCUGGAUGUUAACAGUUGGCCCAGGGAUAAUUCUCAUCUUCCAAUGGAGGAGCACAGCUUCCGUUUUCCAUAACAGAACAGCCAGGGCAGCUGGAAGGCAGGGCUGCAUUCCAGACUUCCACCAACAAUGGUACUCAUCAACAUCUGGAAUCACAACCACAGCAGAUCUAAGAGACCCACCAGCCUCAUGACAAGCUUCUGUUUUCAAAGAAAGUUUUAGGGGGUCAUGACCAUGAGAUGCUGGACCAGGAUGGUAAGCAUCAAGAAACAG